AACGAACGCUGGCGGCAUGCCUAACACAUGCAAGUCGAACGAGACCUUCGGGUCUAGUUGCGCACGGGUGCGUAACGCGUGGGAACCUGCCCUUAGGUUCGGAAUAACUCCCCGAAAGGGGUGCUAAUACCGGAUAAUGUCUUCGGACCAAAGAUUUAUCGCCUUUGGAUGGGCCCGCGUUGGAUUACCUAGUUGGUAGAGUAAAAGCCUACCAAGGCGACGAUCCAUUGCUGGUCAGAGAGGAUGAUCAGCCACACUGGGACUGAGACACGGCCCAGACUCCUACGGGAGGCAGCAGUGGGGAAUAAUGGACAGGGGGCAGACGCCUGAUCCAGCAAUGCCGCGUGAGUGAUGAAGGCCUUAGGGUUGUAAAGCUCUUUUACCCGGGAUGAUAAUGACAGUACCGGGAGAAUAAACUCCGGCUAACUCCGUG
rnacentral:rRNA from 1 species